AUGGAGAACCGUGAUUGGAUGUAUAGUGGAUGGGUGUUUGGUCAAGUCCCUUCUAAUAUAUGGCUUGAAGAAACUGCACGAUUUAUAGACCGGGCCUUCUCUUCCGUAGCUGAAGGUGGUAAAAUUAAGUGUCCAUGCGCCAAAUGUCGGAAUUAUUUUCCGCAAGAAAGGCACAUUGUAGAGAAACACUUGUAUAAACAUGGGUAUAAGCCAAAUUACAAAACCUGGACAGAACAUGGUGAGAGUUUUGUAGCUGCUGCUGAUGGAUCUGUCCCUUUAGUACAUCAAGAGGGCUGUAAUGAAACUGAUCGAAUGGACAAUAUGUUGGUUGACUUAGGUGGUAGCCAUCUUCCACCGGUUACUGAGGAGCCAACCUCCUCUGCCAAGGCUUUUUAUAGGAUGGUCAGUAGUGCCGAUGAAUUGGUACAUGAGAACACAAAACACUCACGUCUUUCUGCUGUAGCUCGUUUGCUGGCUAUGAAAUCACAAUACAACAUGUCCAUUGCACAUUUUGAUGAUACCUUAAAAAUAAUCCAUGAACUUUUGCCUCCUGAAUCUAAUUUGUCCGAAGACUUCUACCAAUCCAAGAAACUCUUAGAAGGUCUUGGGAUGCCAUAUGUCAAAAUAGAUGUGUGCAAAAAUAAUUGCAUGUUGUAUUACAAAGAUAACAAACAUAAAGAGAAGUGUGACUUUUGUGGCACAUCUCGUUACGAGGAAGGCCAAAAGAAAAUCCCACGUAAAGUUUUGCGGUACCUCCCUCUAAAAGAUAGAUUGCAAAGGUUGUAUGCCAAUGAGGAGACCGCAAAGCUUAUGCGUUCUCACACUCCUUCCGGGUCUGAUGCAACCAUUAGCAGAUGA
rnacentral:rRNA from 1 species